ACCCCAUUUAUAGAGUCACUAACACUCUCCUUUUUA
rnacentral:tRNA from 1 species